rnacentral:rRNA from 1 species
UGGGGAAUCUUCCGCAAUGGGCGCAAGCCUGACGGAGCAAUGCCGCGUGAGUGAAGAAGGCCUUCGGGUUGUAAAACUCUGUCCUCAUCCAAGAGAAGGGAAGGUAGUAACUGACCUUUCCAGGACGGUAGAUGAGGAGGAAGCCCCGGCUAACUAUGUGCCAGCAGCCGCGGUAAAACAUAGGGGGCAAGCGUUGUCCGGAAUCACUGGGCGUAAAGGGCGCGCAGGCGGUCUGUUAAGUCAGAUGUGAAAGGUUAGGGCUCAACCCUGAACGUGCAUCUGAUACUGGCAGACUUGAGUAUGGAAGAGGUAAGUGGAAUUCCUAGUGUAGCGGUGAAAUGCGUAGAUAUUAGGAGGAACACCAGUGGCGAAGGCGACUUACUGGGCCAUAACUGACGCUGAGGCGCGAAAGCGUGGGGAGCAAACAGG